GACAGAGGUGCCAAGCGUUAGGCGGAAUCACUGGGCUUAAAGCGUGUGUAGGCGGAAUUGUAAGUACCUUGUGAAAUCCCACGGCUCAACCGUGGAACUGCUCGGUAUACUGCUUUUCUUGAGCCACUUAGGGGCUGUCGGAACAAACGGUGGAGCGGUGAAAUGCGCAGAUAUCGGGAGGAACACCAAUUGCGAAGGCAGCUCGCUGGGACGUUACUGACGCUGAGACGCGAAAGCGUGGGGAGCAAACAGG
rnacentral:rRNA from 1 species